rnacentral:lncRNA from 1 species
UCGGCACGGAGUAUUCUACAAGGUGAAAUGUUAGUAGAAGGUUCCAUUGCAUGUGUAUAUUUAGCUUUUUUGGGUGAUUUUUGUGUUAAAACACCCAAAUCAAAAGAGGGGCUAUCACUUAAUGUAGAUUUUGUAGGUAUGUUUUUCAUUGUUUAUCUUGAACUUGAAUCGGAUUGAACUUCAAUUUGCAAGAAUGAUAUCUUUGAGAUUUUGUGAGAAAAACUGGAGAAACCUUCGUUUGGUUCAGAAG